UAUUGGUUUUGUGAUAAUGAGAGAAGAAAAGUCGAAGUCGACAAACGAGAUGAAGUCGAUGCUCUCCUCGAUCUUUCAAUCGGUGCUGGCCUCGUCCUCGAAGAAUCUCGUCGUCGCCUCGUCCUAUAAGCAACGACAACCAUCUCCGGCUGAUGCUGCAUCAAAUGAUGUAUUCAGUCUCAACAGUUGUGUUGUUCACCUUGGCAAUGGCUGCUGCCACUGGGUUAGGUGCAGUGCCCUUCUUCUUUGUUAAGCUCGAUCCUCAUUGGCCUGGAAUAUGCAAUGGCAUGGCUGCUGGUGUGAUGUUGGCCGCUAGCUUUGAGCUUGUGAACAUGUUGUGUAUCACGGGAUGUAUUUGUGAUGAAGUGUAGAGUCACAUGCUUGUAGUCUUGUAGUUUUGUUGUGAACAUGUUGUGUUGUAUCACGGAAUGUAUUUGUGAUGAAGUGUUGAGUCACAAAAUCUUUAUAAAUAAUGUAUUCAAAGCAUUGUUUUCAAUCACAAACCACAAUCUGAAACAUUUCUUUCA